rnacentral:rRNA from 1 species
GUCGAGCGCUCACUUCGGUGGGAGCGGCGGACGGGUUAGUAACGCGUGGGAACAUACCCAACACUACGGAAUAGCCACUGGAAACGGUGAGUAAUACCGUAUACGCCCUUCGGGGGAAAGAUUUAUCGGUGAUGGAUUGGCCCGCGUUAGAUUAGAUAGUUGGUGGGGUAAUGGCCUACCAAGUCUACGAUCUAUAGCUGGUUUGAGAGGAUGAUCAGCAACACUGGGACUGAGACACGGCCCAGACUCCUACGGGAGGCAGCAGUGGGGAAUCUUAGACAAUGGGCGCAAGCCUGAUCUAGCGAUGCCGCGUGAGUGACGAAGGCCCUAGGGUCGUAAAGCUCUUUCGCCAGGGAUGAUAAUGACAGUACCUGGUAAAGAAACCCCGGCUAACUCCGUGCCAGCAGCCGCGGUAAUACGGAGGGGGUUAGCGUUGUUCGGAAUUACUGGGCGUAAAGCGCGCGUAGGCGGAUUGGAAAGUUGGGGGUGAAAUCCCGGGGCUCAACCCCGGAACUGCCUCCAAAACUAUCAGUCUAGAGUUCGAGAGAGGUGAGUGGAAUUCCGAGUGUAGAGGUGAAAUUCGUAGAUAUUCGGAGGAACACCAGUGGCGAAGGCGGCUCACUGGCUCGAUACUGACGCUGAGGUGCGAAAGUGUGGGGAGCAAACAGGAUUAGAUACCCUGGUAGUCCACACCGUAAACGAUGAAUGCCAGACGUCGGGGGGCUUGCCCUUCGGUGUCACACCUAACGG